UUGCACGCUGGCGGCAGGCCUAACACAUGCAAGUCGCGCGGAUGAAGGGAGCUUGCUCCUGGAUUCAGCGGCGGACGGGUGAGUAAUGCCUAGGAAUCUGCCUGGUAGUGGGGGAUAACGUCCGGAAACGGGCGCUAAUACCGCAUACGUCCUGAGGGAGAAAGUGGGGGAUCUUCGGACCUCACGCUAUCAGAUGAGCCUAGGUCGGAUUAGCUAGUUGGUGGGGUAAAGGCCUACCAAGGCGACGAUCCGUAGCUGGUCUGAGAGGAUGAUCAGUCACACUGGAACUGAGACACGGUCCAGACUCCUACGGGAGGCAGCAGUGGGGAAUAUUGGACAAUGGGCGAAAGCCUGAUCCAGCCAUGCCGCGUGUGUGAAGAAGGUCUUCGGAUUGUAAAGCACUUUAAGUUGGGAGGAAGGGCAGUAAGUUAAUACCUUGCUGUUUUGACGUUACCAACAGAAUAAGCACCGGCUAACUUCGUG
rnacentral:rRNA from 1 species